CCCACACUUAGUCUUUUACUCAUUCUCGAAAAAAGUUGGAUCACUGGAAACAUAACUUUAGGACAAGUUAUCAACAUAAAACUAUUCCUAGCCAUACCUGAUUUGAGGGAUUCAAUGUGUCUACCAUGAAACUUUUGGCAGUUGAAAAAUGGAACAACUUGAAACAGAUUACCAUUUUUCUUCAGCCAUGUCAAUUGGAGUUUUUGCAUAAGUUUUGAAAAUAAACAUAGCUUAGCUUCUCCUCCAUAUAGUACUCUUAAAUCACACAUAUAUGUAGUAUUUUUGGAUCCUAACUAAAGCAUUGAAUGAUUAUGUAUUCUUUUCAUCAUAACUCUAAUAAGCUUAUGUGGAGUUUAUAGGUAAUUCAAGGAUGUAGCACACUUACGUUGCAUAUGUUGCUGAACCAAAACUUAGAUCCGUGGAGGGGAAUGUCAUACUCUUAGAUCAAGAUGUGCAUGUGUGUGUGUGUGUGUGUAUAUAUAUAGUAGCUAUCCUAAUUUUCUAUUUUGCUCCUUCAUAACUUGUCUUCCUACCUUGAAAUAUUAAAGAACUUUGCUUAGAGAGAAUGGACUAUCUUUUUCUUCUCUCUUUUUUUUCAUUGCUUUUCUUUGGACACUUGUCCUUUUAUUUUCAAUGUUUUUAUUUUUGCACAGCCAUAUGCCUCCUCUCUGUAGCUAGAACAUUUUUGAGAGAGACAAUUACAAGAACUUGGAGCAUUUAUUCCUAACUAAUUUCUUUUUGUGUUUUCUCCUAGUGUAGGAGUAAAACAUUAAGUGGGUGAAAAAACAUGUUUUUGAGUACUCUUAGUGUAGUCAGAUAUAUGAGGGUGUACAUGAUCUUGAUCUUAGGAGCUUGAUAAACCUCUCAAUACAGUUCAACAAGGUUUGACAAAACUCAAUACAAAGCAAGUAGCUUAUGAGCUAGUUUUCAAUAUGAAAAUUAUAUAUGGCUCUAGUUGGAUAAAUUUUACUACAGAGGAGAAGCAUAGCUAUUAAUUUUAAAUUGUGAAAUUAAAUUCUCCAUAAGACUACAUCAAGAAUCAUAUUCUCAUUAUUCUUGCUAUCCCAAAUUUUACAACAACUUAAUUGACACGGGUCCAUAUAAUAAGUUCCCUACAAUAGCAAGGUUUCCAGUAAAAGUGUUAUGUGAAUCUAUCCUCAAGUCAUGACAACAACAAUAUUUAAAGUAUUUUUAUUAAUGAAUUUCCAAUUUAAUUCAAAAUAGGGAGUGGCAUAUAUAUACAGAAAUAGAUAGUAUAAUAAUGUAAACUUUAUUUCAUUGCUCUUGGGCACUUUAUUACAAUGAUAAAUAUGCCCUAGGUGUGGAACUAUUUCUUAUUCUCUACUUUUUAUCCUCGGCACAGACGUCACUAGAGAGGUUAUCGACCUUGGAUUCUAAUUUCUUAUGCUCUAUCUUCUCUAGAUCUAUCCUAUCGUUGGUGGUCGUCACUGACUUCCUAAGAAGCUUGUGAUCCUAUUCUAUGGAUUUUACAAGUAGGCUAAGGAAUUUCACUUGCUCCUCAAGUGAUGACACUAUAGUCUGGUAGCACUUCCUCCUCUCUUGUGGUGGUGCCUUUUGUGGUGCCUCCUUAGGUGGCAGGAACUUGACUUUAGAUGGGCUAGCGCGCACUCCUUCAAUGACAGGACGAGAUGAGUACAUAGCAUAGAUAAUUUGG
rnacentral:lncRNA from 1 species